AUGUCGUCGAGGUCCGGGGCCGCCAGGAUGCGAGCGUGCGGGCCGUGGGGCGAGGGCGGCAGCGGCGUCGUCGGGGACGCGCACGCGCUCGAGAGGGAGAUGUCGCGGGACGGCAGCCACUACAGCCUCUCCAGCGGCAUCCUGCCGUCCCUCGGCGCGCGGAGCAACCGCCGCGUCAAGCUUCGCCGCUUCAUCAUCUCGCCCUACGACCGCCGAUACAGAUUGUGGGAGACUUUCCUCAUAGUUCUCGUGGUCUACUCUGCGUGGGUCUCCCCAUUCGAAUUUGGCUUCAUUCGGAUUCCUACGGGAGGCCUAGCUGCGACGGAUAAUGCCGUGAAUGCAAUCUUCGCAGUUGACAUCAUCCUGACCUUCUUUGUAGCUUACUUGGACAGACUGACCUAUUUGCUGGAAGAUGAUCCAAAGAGGAUUGCUUGGCGUUAUGCUACCAGCUGGUUGGUUCUUGACGUUGCCUCCACCAUCCCAUCAGAAAUUGCUCGCAGGAUGCUACCUUCAAAGCUCAGAUCAUAUGGAUUCUUCAACAUGCUUCGUCUAUGGCGUCUCCGGAGAGUCAGCUCUCUCUUUGCUAGAUUGGAGAAGGAUAGACACUUCAAUUACUUCUGGGUUCGAUGUGCAAAGCUCAUUUGUGUCACACUUUUUGCCGUGCACUGUGCAGCAUGCUUCUACUAUCUCCUUGCUGAUAGGUACCCGGACCCAAAGGAAACAUGGAUUGGCAAUACCAUGCCAGAUUUUCAUUCCAAGGGCUUGUGGAUUCGCUACGUAACAUCAGUAUAUUGGUCAAUCACCACACUUACCACUGUGGGUUAUGGGGAUUAUCAUGCGGAGAAUAUAAGGGAGAUGAUUUUCAACAUUUUCUACAUGUUCUUUAACCUUGGACUGACUGCUUAUUUGAUUGGCAACAUGACCAACUUGGUUGUCCAUGGCACCAGCCGUACUCGAAAAUAUCGGGAUACAAUUCAAGCAGCAACCAGCUUUGCACUUAGGAAUCAGCUACCACCUCGGUUGCAAGAUCAGAUGAUAUCACAUCUUAGCUUAAAGUUCAGGACAGAUUCUGAAGGUCUUCAACAACAAGAGACACUUGAUGCGCUGCCUAAGGCUAUUAGAUCUAGCAUUUCACAAUAUCUGUUUCUCAAUCUGGUUCAAAACAUUUACUUGUUUCAAGGAGUAUCUAAUGAUCUGAUUUUUCAACUGGUUUCGGAGAUGAAAGCCGAAUAUUUUCCACCUAGGGAGGACGUCAUUUUGCAGAAUGAAGCACCCACUGACUUCUACAUUUUAGUUUCUGGUAGUGUGGAAUUAGUAGAGGUUCCAAAUGGUGCGGAGCAUGGUGCAGAACAGGUGGUUGGAGUGGCCAAGUCAGGAGAGGUUAUUGGAGAAAUUGGGGUUCUUUGCUAUAGGCCUCAACUAUUCACAGUCCGGACAAGAUCCUUAUGUCAGCUUCUACGGAUGAAUCGUACGGCCUUUCUCAGCAUUGUUCAAUCCAAUGUUGGAGAUGGAACUAUCAUAAUGAACAACCUUAUUCAGUUACUAAAAGAGCAGACAGACGGCGUAAUGGUGGGUGUUCUGAAGGAGAUCGAGAGCAUGCUAGCUCGAGGCCGUCUGGAUUUGCCAAUUACACUCUGCUUUGCAGUGACUAGAGGAGACGACCAUUUGUUGCAUCAACUACUUAAGCGUAAUUUGGAUCCAAAUGAGUCAGAUCAAGAUGGGCGUACGGCACUGCACAUAGCUGCUUCCAAAGGAAAUGAGCAAUGUGUCAAGCUUCUAUUAGAAUAUGGAGCUGAUCCAAAUGCCAGGGAUUCGGAAGGAAAGGUUCCGCUAUGGGAGGCUGUGUAUGCGAAGCAUGAUACGGUUGUGCAGCUGUUAGUCAAGGGCGGUGCAGAACUAUCAUCUGGGGAUACGAGCUUAUAUGCUUGCACCGCAGUCGAGCAAAACAAUAUAGAACUGCUCAAGCAGAUACUCAAGCAUGUCAUCGAUGUAAACAGGCCAUCCAAAGACGGAAACAUUCCGCUGCACCGUGCUGUCUGUGACGGGAACGUUGAGAUGGUUGAGUUGUUACUGAGACACGGAGCGGACAUCGACAAGCAGGACAGCAACGGCUGGACCCCAAGGGCUCUAGCUGAGCAACAAGGCCAUGAAGAAAUACAAAACCUGUUUAGAUCAGUGAUAGCACCAAGGAAGUACACAUCAAAUGGUAGGGUGACACCUAUGUUGCUAGGCAGGUUCAGCAGUGAUCCCUCGAUGCAAAAAGUGAUCCAUGAAGAUGUUGAGCAGCAACCCAGCAAAGUUCUUCCGCAAAGAAGGAAAGUCAGCUUCCACAACUCUCUUUUUGGUGUCAUCUCUUCGGCUCAUCCGCGCCGGGAGACUGACCAUCUGCUCUCAAGAGGUCUUGCGGCAACAGGCGGUCCGACUUAUCCUCAGGCCCAUCACAACCCACUCAUCAGGGUGACAAUCAGCUGCCCCGAGAUGGGGAACACUGCUGGGAAGCUUGUGAUCUUGCCGGGGUCGAUAAAGGAGCUUCUUCAACUAGGUGCGAAGAAGUUUGACAUGAUGCCCACUAAGGUCCUGACAAUUGAGGGCGCAGAAGUUGACGAGGUUGAGCUCAUCAGAGAUGGUGAUCACCUUGUUCUCGCCAGUGAUGACUGGGUACCAGAUGAUACGCAAAUAAGAGGUAAAAAUUAG
rnacentral:rRNA from 1 species